CGUCGGUUCUAUUUUGUUGGUUUCUAGGACCGCCGUAAUGAUCAAUAGGGACGGUCGGGGGCAUCAGUAUUCAGCCGUCAGAGGUGAAAUUCUUGGACCGGCUGAAGACUAACUACUGCGAAAGCAUUUGCCAAGGACGUUUUCGCUGAUCAGGAACGAAAGUUAGGGGAUCGAAGACGAUCAGAUACCGUCGUAGUCUUAACCAUAAACUAUGCCGACUAGGGAUCGGACGGAGUUCUUUCUAGACCCGUUUGGCACCUUUCGAGAAAUCAAAGUGCGUGGGCUCCAGGGGGAGUAUGGCGGCAACGCUGAAACUUAAAGAAAUUGACGGAAGGGCACCACCAGGGGUGGAACCUGCGGCUUAAUUUGACUCAACACGGGGAAACUCACCAGGUCCGGACACAAUGAGGAUUGACAGAUUGAGAGCUCUUUCUUGAUUUUGUGGGUGGUGGUGCAUGGCCGUUCUUAGUUGGUGGGGUGACUUGUCUGCUUAAUUGCGAUAACGAACGAGACCUUGACCCCUAAAUAGCUCGCACCGCCCCGGCGGUGUUGCGGCUUCUUAGUGGGACUAUCGGCUCAAGCCGAUGGAAGUUCGAGGCAAUAACAGGUCUGUGAUGCCCUUAGAUGUCCUGGGCCGCACGCGCGUUACACUGACAGAGCCAGCGAGUUUUUCCCUUGGCCGGAAGGCCCGGGUAAUCUUGUGAAACUCCGUCGUGC
rnacentral:rRNA from 1 species